GACCUAGGAGUCACUUCCUAGCUAUACUACAUUUCUCAUAUGCAAUCAAAUUUGUAUGUGCCACGACACCCAUCAACGUUGUAGAGGGCUUAAGUGAUUUUAAAAAUUGAGCUUAGCUUUCUUAGCCCAUUGCACGAUUUUAUUACCCCUUAGUGUUCGCCCAAGCGUCCACCAGCAGCCCCUACUCUCUUUUUCUCUUUCAAACACUCUUCUAAGCACUUUCCUCACUUCUCCCACCAUCCCACUUCUAGAAAACCCAUUCUUCAUCACUUUUGCACCAUUCCACCAUCAAAGUUUGGGGUUUUCUUGAGAAUGUUGCAUUUGGGCUUCAUUCAUCAUCAACUUACAAGCAUUUUGCACACAUUCAAAGUCUCUCCACCCAAGUAAGUCAUACAAUUUUCAUUCU
rnacentral:lncRNA from 1 species